rnacentral:lncRNA from 1 species
CCCAAGAGAUGGUGUAUACAUAGCACUUUGUCAACUGUAAAGUCCUAUGUAGAUAUUGUAAUUUAGCCUUGGCUAGAGAAGGCCUCACAAAGGAGGUAGGGUACAUAAGCCUGAGCUGGAAGAGUAGGUGGCAGGUGGCAGAGGGGUGAGGAGGGCCUUACAGGUGGGGGGGACAUGGGUGCUGCUGGGAGGUUGGAGUGAGCAUGGUCAGGAGACAUGAGUUGGCCCUCCUCACAUCCAACUUGAGAGGUUGGUGCUCACCUCUCCCUUCCACAGAUGAGGAUGCUGGGGGAUCCGAAGGCACCAGAGACACUGCACGUCUCCGGCUCCUGGAACAUGCUCCUCCUCCUUUGACCAUGUGGUUCCCUCUAAUCACAGCGACUACCUCAGUAUUUGUUUGUUUGAUAAACUUCUGUUGAUCCUUCACAAUGCAGCAAGGCAGAAAACCAUGCAGGUGCAUCUGGCCAGACAACAUGAUGCAGCCUGGAAUUGCCAUCUCUCCUCCUGGGAGGUUUAUCCCUCCCAUCUGCUACAUUUCACCCAAAUGAGGAUGCAGAUCAGAAACAUGUUGCAGUAUGAGCUCUCUGCAGAAUUGGUGUGUGCUCCAUCUUUGAAUGUAUCACUCUCAUCACAGUGCCUGGUAUACAGCAGUUUCUCACUAAACACUUACUAACUCAUUUAAUAAAUGACUGAGUGAGCCA